rnacentral:lncRNA from 1 species
AAAAAGAUGUUCUUUUCUAGAUUUUCUUGGGACACGAACAAAUACUACUAGCGAAAUGUUUUUCCACUUUGCUCAUCCUGCUUAAGCCUGUGUGCAAAUAGUUGUUAAUCUACACUGAAUGGAAGAGUCCUUGUGACCAUUUAUUUUAUUAACUCAUGUUAUGUAAACUUGGUAUUUAUCUCAAGGCUGUCUAGACUCUUAAUGCUGUGACCCUUGAAAACCUAGAGAAUUUAAUGUCUCCAGUUGGGCUGAAUUUAGGUUUAGGUUUGGUAGAAUAAUGGGAAGGGUAAGUCUUCAGAGACACUUGACGGAGUCCUCAGAGACACUUGACAAACUUGGGAAAGGAAAGAAGAGUAGGAACAACUGGGCAUGCUCAGUGAUACCCUGAGCAACCACAUUACUUCGCUAGAUCCUGCCCUUUUUCUCAACAAAAAGUAGUUCAAGAAUUAUUUCCUGAGUUGAUCAAAAAGACUUAUUGUCAUAUGGUUAAUUAUGUGUUGAGCAUGUCUUUUUAUUAUUUUUGUAACAGACAAAAAAAAUUACCAUAUAAUUUAAGAAAAGAAGGUACUUUCCAUAUCUCCUGAGUUGGAGAUACUUCUGAAAGGAGCAGAAGAGAUGGGAGAAAUGUACAAUUCUACUUUAUUCCUGAAGUCCUGGUUUUACCAGAUAAAAUGAAGUGAGAUGAAAAUUAAACUUUCUUGUCUGAUUUUUUUUUUCUACCAAGUUAUAGACUUUAAAUUUUGGCAGGAUAAAAAUAAAAUGUGAGACAGAUUUACUUUUUGGCUCACAUAACUUCAAAUAAGGCGACUUAAAAAUGGUUUGGAGCAUUAGUAUUUUGACUGUAGAAAAAAUUUAUUCAUUUAAUAUUAA